GACCAUCUCCUAAGGCUAAAUACUCUCUAGUGACCGAUAGUGAACCAGUACCGUGAGGGAAAGGUGAAAAGCACCCCGGAAGGGGAGUGAAAUAGAACCUGAAACCGUGUGCUUACAAGUAGUCAGAGCCCGUUAAUGGGUGAUGGCGUGCCUUUUGUAGAAUGAACCGGCGAGUUACGAUUUGAUGCAAGGUUAAGCAGUAAAUGUGGAGCCGUAGCGAAAGCGAGUCUGAAUAGGGCGUUUAGUAUUUGGUCGUAGACCCGAAACCAGGUGAUCUACCCUUGGUCAGGUUGAAGUUCAGGUAACACUGAAUGGAGGACCGAACCGACUUACGUUGAAAAGUGAGCGGAUGAACUGAGGGUAGCGGAGAAAUUCCAAUCGAACCUGGAGAUAGCUGGUUCUCUCCGAAAUAGCUUUAGGGCUAGCCUCAAGUGAUGAUUAUUGGAGGUAGAGCACUGUUUGGACGAGGGGCCC
rnacentral:rRNA from 1 species